rnacentral:rRNA from 1 species
CCUAGGGCGGCUGCAGUGGGGAAUAUUGCACAAUGGGCGCAAGCCUGAUGCAGCCAUGCCGCGUGUAUGAAGAAGGCCUUCGGGUUGUAAAGUACUUUCAGCGGGGAGGAAGGGAGUAAAGUUAAUACCUUUGCUCAUUGACGUUACCCGCAGAAGAAGCACCGGCUAACUCCGUGCCAGCAGCCGCGGUAAUACGGAGGGUGCAAGCGUUAAUCGGAAUUACUGGGCGUAAAGCGCACGCAGGCGGGUUGUUAAGUCAGAUGUGAAAUCCCCGGGCUCAACCUGGGAACUGCAUCUGAUACUGGCAAGCUUGAGUCUCGUAGAGGGGGGUAGAAUUCCAGGUGUAGCGGUGAAAUGCGUAGAGAUCUGGAGGAAUACCGGUGGCGAAGGCGGCCCCCUGGACGAAGACUGACGCUCAGGUGCGAAAGCGUGGGGAGCAAACAGGAUUAGAUACCCCCGUAGUC